GUAGGUGGCAGGCGUUGUCCGGAAUUAUUGGGCGUAAAGCGCGCGCAGGCGGUUCUUUAAGUCUGAUGUGAAAGCCCACGGCUCAACCGUGGAGGGUCAUUGGAAACUGGAGAACUUGAGUACAGAAGAGGAAAGCGGAAUUCCACGUGUAGCGGUGAAAUGCGUAGAGAUGUGGAGGAACACCAGUGGCGAAGGCGGCUUUCUGGUCUGUAACUGACGCUGAGGCGCGAAAGCGUGGGGAGCAAACAGGAUUAGAUACCCUGGUAGUCCACGCCGUAAACGAUGAGUGCUAAGUGUUAGGGGGGUUUUCCGGCCCCCCUUAGUGCUGCAGCUAACGCAUUAAGCACUCCGCCUGGGAGUACGGCCGCAAGGCUG
rnacentral:rRNA from 1 species